rnacentral:other from 1 species
CACAAAAGGAGGGAGUAGGGGAGAGGCUCAACUUUCUCCACCUUCCAGAGCUGUGGGGAGCUUGCAGAAGAGAUUGGGGGCUCCCACUGCCUGUCCCCACCAACUCACCCCUUUGGCUUAUUCUCUCUUGGUUUGUCUGUUGGUUGUAGAGUUGGAGGUUGGAGCGACUCUGCUCCCCACGGGAAGGAAGCACACCCCCAUAUUAAAAAGAGCGGAGAUAUUAAAAGAGAGGCGAACCCAUGCCCAGCUGCACCGCGUCCACCAUG